rnacentral:rRNA from 1 species
UUGUGACUGCGUACCUUUUGUAUAAUGGGUCAGCGACUUAUAUUUUGUAGCGAGGUUAACUGAAUAAGGGAGCCGAAGGGAAACCGAGUCUUAACUGGGCGAUUGAGUUGCAAGGUAUAGACCCGAAACCCGGUGAUCUAGCCAUGGGCAGGUUGAAGAUUGGGUAACACUAAUUGGAGGACCGAACCGACUAAUGUUGAAAAAUUAGCGGAUGACUUGUGGCUGGGGGUGAAAGGCCAAUCAAACCGGGAGAUAGCUGGUUCUCCCCGAAAUCUAUUUAGGUAGAGCCUUGAGCGGACACCUUCGGGGGUAGAGCACUGUUUCGGCUAGGGGUCCAUCCCGGAUUACCAACCCGAUGCAAACUGCGAAUACCGAAGAGUGAUACUCAGGAGACACACGG